GACGUAGGGGGCCAGCGUUGUUCGGAAUUACUGGGUGUAAAGGGUUCGUAGGCGGUGCGGCAAGUCGGGAGUGAAAUCUCUGGGCUUAACCCAGAGGCUGCUUCCGAAACUGCUGUGCUUGAGUGUGGGAGAGGCGCGUGGAAUUGCAGGUGUAGCGGUGAAAUGCGUAGAUAUCUGCAGGAACACCCGUGGCGAAAGCGGCGCGCUGGACCACUACUGACGCUGGGGAACGAAAGCUAGGGGAGCAAACAGG
rnacentral:rRNA from 1 species